UGAGUAGUUUGUAUAGAUGAUGGCCUGAGGGUUUGAAACCCCGGUAUAUCACAUUGUGACGCUAUAUUAGGGCGUGACUCGCACCCCAUGGCAGGUGCGGAAAUAUUUAUGACUGGGGAUUUGUGACUUGGCCCAUCCCAAACAAGAAUUAUACCGUAUUGGCAAUUGAUACACACCCUAUAUUGAAUAUAUCUGGGCUUAUUGACAUGUUUGGGGCCUUGUGCCGAUUUGUAGCAUCCGUCUAGGAUGAAUAUCAUUGUGAUAGCAUGAUUUGCAUAAUCAUUGAUCUCGGUCCUAUGUUUAAUCAUUGUAAUGAAAUGCUAAGUCACCUUUCCUGAAAUUAAUCAGUGGAUGAAUAUAAUUUUGAUAGCAUGCUUGUAUAAUCAUUAUUCUCAGUCCUGUGUUUAAUCACUGUUAUGAAUUGCCAAGUCACUUUUCCUGAAGUUAAAUAACUAAGUUAUAUUCUUCUUAAUCAUUGGAAUUUGGGAAAUUAAUUGAAUAUGUUAUGUGACUCAUAUGCAUAAUGUGAACUGAGUAUGGAUCGGGGCUGCACGUUGCAGUGAUGAUAUGGUGGUAUUGCGCUUGGGCUGUAGGAGCCCUUCCGGAGUCUGUACAUCCCCCAGUGAGCGCCGUCUACGUUAAAUGGAUCGGACUGUAUGUCGCAACGGGUCAUGUGCAUUGCAUUGCAUUCUUGUAUUAUACUUGACUGAUAUACUUGAUAUUGUUUUACUGUUGGUUCAUUGUUAAUGUGUCGGACUGUUAGUUUUAGCUUUACUUUGUGGCAUUUUGUGGAUUCUUAUCUUCAGACAUUUUAUAUACUUAUUACUCACUGAGUUGGUAGUACUCACCCCUACUCCCUGCACCUUGUGUGCAGAUUCAAGAGCAGUGGAGGCUUAGCUGAAUAGUCGUUGUCUCCAAAGCUUAUCAGAGUUGUUGAGGUAGCUUCUUGACGUUCGCAGGACCUGACUACUACUCCUAUUUCAGUUUUAUUUAUAUUUGCGUUUCCAGACUUACGUAGUUUCGUUCAAAUAAUUGUUAUCCAGUUUGUUUUAGAGGCUCUAGACUCGUGAACCCAGAUCUUAUGGGAGUGUUUUUAUCAGAUUUCGUAUCUCUUCGUAUUAUGUUUCUAAAAUAUUGUAUUAUUAUUCUAAAACUAUUACAUUCUCCUUAAAUUGUCGGUUUUGAGAUUUAUUGUUGAAUUGGGAGCGACUGUUGGUCGGGCUUGCAUAGCAUUAGGGUUGGGCGCCAUCGCGACCGGCUUUGGGUCGUGACAUUGAUUUAGUUUAGUAAUUCCGUUUGGGUAUUAUCUGGUUACGUUAAUUAGUUCAACAAUUGCAUUUUUAUGAUUUUUCUUCAUUUGCUGUUUUCUUUGAAGUAGUUGUUAAGAACUGGUUAGCUAUUAAGUUCAUAGGCUUCAAGUUAAUUUAGGCUAAUAGUAGAUUUGGGUUUAGUUGAAUGGGGGAGUAAUUUUGGGAAAGGGCAGAAUUGGGAAUACAUAUGGGUCAAUUUAGCUAAGAGCAUCCUAGAAUCUUCUAGAUAGGGGGGCAAGGUGAGAAUUUCAGAAAGGGAGAGUACUUACUAGUGUGACAAGUUAGGAAAUAAAGGGAUACAAAAUAAAAACUAAAUUGAGUGAGGGACCUAAAAGAAACAUAAAAUCUGAUCACUCACCUUACUUGCCUAUAAAAGGGCAUCAAAAUUGUCUUGCUAAGGGUUUGGGGGCAGCCAAAAAAUUUCCUCUCAAAAUCUGAUCACUUUCAAUUUUCCAGUUUAAAUUCUGUUUAAUUCUAUACAAAAAACCCAAAACAGUAGAGAUUUCCAAAAACAAAACAAAACAAAACAAAACAAAUGCAUUAAAGCUCUCCAACAGUAUUGUUCCAUUGGAUAUUUUAGCUCACUUUCAAGUUUGGUUGAUUAAUUUUGAGUUUUUGGUUGGAUACUUGGUAGUUAAGGAUUGGGAAGUGGCUGAUUGUGAAUUUGAUUCCAUUUCUAGCGGGUUAUGAUCAGUUUUUAGUCGUCUUACACUGAUUUGGUUGAGUCUAGUGCAUAAUGAUUUAAUUGAGGUUGUUCUUAGUGCAUUUUGGUUCAACUUGCUGCUUUGAUUCGAGUUUUGAACAAUUCCUGAACUGCUGGCUUAUUCCUAAGGGGUUUUGGUUAUUCUGUGUUGUUGAAGUAAUUCCUGAGUUGCUGCAGAUCAUCACUGAUUCACUGACUUCCUCUUCUUCUUCUUUGAAUCUUCAUUAUCCAGGUACCUUUUUGAAACUGACCCAGUGUAUCUGUUCCAAUUGAAAGCUGAAAUAAAAUGGCCUUCUAUGGAGUUUAUGUGUUCAAACUGUUAAGUAGAGUAGCAACAGAUAAUCUGCAUUAUUGUAUUUUUUUAACUUUGUUUUAUGUGAUAUAAUUCAGGAAUUAAAGCAAGCUGGAAUGGAAAUUGGUUUUGAAGGUCAUAGACUUCACUUGUAGUAAUAGCAUUGGGUGAAGCCAAUAGGAAGGCAGUGAGUCAGUAGUGUGUUAAAAUCUUAAGCAUGUAUAUGUAUGAAAAUCGUUCGUAUAUACUGUUGCUUGAAUCUUGUUAAUUAAUAAACUGACAGACGUUUAGGUUAACACUGUUUAGGGGUGACAACUUUAUUAAUUAAACGUUGCAUGACUUUGAAUGUCAAAUUGGAAUUUGAAAA
rnacentral:lncRNA from 1 species